UAGGGAAUAUUAGAAAUGGACGCAAGUCUGAUCUAGCAACACCGCGUGUGCGAAGAAGGCCUUCGGGUCGUAAAGCACUUUUUGGAAGGAAUAGGGAGGAAUGUACUUCCAGAAUAAGUCUCGGCUAACUACGUGCCAGCAGCCGCGGUAACACGUAGGAGGCAAACGUUAUCCGGAUUUACUGGGCGUAAAGCGCGUGUAGGUGGUACUGUAAGUAGGGCGUGAAAGCUCCUGGCUCAACUGGGAGAGGCCGUUCUAAACUACAGAACUAGAGGAUGGUAGAGGGAGGUGGAAUUCCAGGUGUAGCGGUGGAAUGCGCAGAUAUCUGGAGGAACACCGGCGGCGAAGGCGGCCUCCUGGACCAUUCCUGACACUCAGACGCGAAAGCUAGGGUAGCAAACGG
rnacentral:rRNA from 1 species